rnacentral:lncRNA from 1 species
CUGGUCUCAAACUCCUGAGCUCAAGUGAUCCACCCGCCUAGGCUUCCCAAAGUGCUGGAACUAUAAGCGAGACCAAUUUGUUGAAUUGGACAGCUGGAAGCAAGGAAGGGAAAAAGUAUUUCACCGAAAAGGCAGAAGACUGGCAUCAAUUGCAAGCUGUGGAAUCAAGACAACUUUGGCUGAGUCCCAUUUUAUAUAGGACUAAAGGAGAGUGCAGUCCUCAAAGGCAAUAAUAUUUAUGAGAACAAAGAAGACUGUGGAGAAAUUUUAGGCAGUAGAAGAGAGCAGAAAGGCCAAGAGGAUCAGGGUUGAAAGAGACCUGGUGGGAGCUGAUUGAAUCAAGGGGGUGGCUCCCCCCUGCUGCUCUCAUGAUAGUGAAGGAGUUCCCAUGAUAUCUGAUGGUUUUAAAAGUGGCAGUUUCCCCUGCAUGCUCUCUCUCUCUUCGGCCACCUGUGAAGAAGAUGCUUGCUUCUCCUUCACCUACUGUCAUGAUUAUGUGCCUUGCUUGCCCUUCACCUUCCACCAUGAUUGUAAGUUUCCUGAGGCCUCCCCAGCCAUGUGGAACUAGAAUCUGGCUGCCUUCAGCCAAAUCUUUGACUGAAGCUAUGCAAGCCCCCUGGCCUUCCAAGAAGUAUUCAGUCCAGGUUUAAGUCCUUCAGCAUCUGACAUUCUCCUGG